UUAAGCAUAAACGGUGAAUACCUCGACUCUUAAAUCGAUGAAGACCGUAGCAAACUGCGUAAUUCAUUUGUAUUGCAUGACUACAUUCAAAAUCGAGAUGUUGAACGCAUAUCGCAAGGCUCUAGACUCACGUCAAGGCCUUUCACUUGGCUGAGAGCGGUU
rnacentral:rRNA from 1 species